rnacentral:rRNA from 1 species
UACGUAGGGAGCAAGCGUUGUUCGGAUUUACUGGGCGUAAAGGGCGCGUAGGCGGCGUUGUAAGUCACUUGUGAAAUCUCUGAGCUUAACUCAGAACGGCCAAGUGAUACUGCAGUGCUAGAGUGCAGAAGGGGCAAUCGGAACUCUUGGUGUAGCGGUGAAAUGCGCAGAUAUCAGGAGGAACACCAGCGGCGAAGGCGGCGCUCUGGGCUGGAACUGACGCUGAGGAGCGAAAGCGUGGGGAGCGAACAGG